UUGGUCCUACGGGGGGCAGCAGUGAGGAAUAUUGGUCAAUGGUCGGGAGACUGAACCAGCCAAGCCGCGUGAGGGAUGAAGGUACAGAGUAUCGUAAACCUCUUUUGUCAGGGAACAAAGGCGGGGACGUGUCCCCGGAUGAGUGUACCUGAAGAAAAAGCAUCGCCUAACUACGUGCCAGCAGCCGCGGUAAUACGUAGGUGGCAAGCGUUAUCCGGAUUUAUUGGGCGUAAAGGGAACGCAGGCGGUCUUUUAAGUCUGAUGUGAAAGCCUUCGGCUUAACCGGGGUAGUGCAUUGGAAACUG
rnacentral:rRNA from 1 species